AUUGAACGCUGGCGGCAGGCCUAACACAUGCAAGUCGAACGGCAGCACAGAAAAGCUUGCUCUUUGGGUGGCGAGUGGCGGACGGGUGAGUAAUGUCUGGGAAACUGCCCGAUGGAGGGGGAUAACUACUGGAAACGGUAGCUAAUACCGCAUAACGUCGCAAGACCAAAGUGGGGGACCUUCGGGCCUCACACCAUCGGAUGUGCCCAGAUGGGAUUAGCUAGUAGGUGGGGUAAUGGCUCACCUAGGCGACGAUCCCUAGCUGGUCUGAGAGGAUGACCAGCCACACUGGAACUGAGACACGGUCCAGACUCCUACGGGAGGCAGCAGUGGGGAAUAUUGCGCAAUGGGCGCAAGCCUGAUGCAGCCAUGCCGCGUGUAUGAAGAAGGCCUUCGGGUUGUAAAGUACUUUCAGCGGGGAGGAAGGCGGUGAGGUUAAUAACCUUGCCGAUUGACGUUACCCGCAGAAGAAGCACCGGCUAACUCCGUGCCAGCCGCCGCCGUAA
rnacentral:rRNA from 1 species